rnacentral:rRNA from 1 species
GAGUUUGAUCUUGGCUCAGAUUGAACGCUGGCGGCAGGCCUAACACAUGCAAGUCGAGCGGAUGAGAGGAGCUUGCUCCUUGAUUCAGCGGCGGACGGGUGAGGUAAUGCCUAGGAAUCUGCCUGAUAGUGGGGGGACAACGUUUCGAAAGGAACGCUAAUACCGCAUACGUCCUACGGGAGAAAGCAGGGGGCCUUCGGGCCUUGCGCUAUCAGAUGAGCCUAGGUCGGAUUAGCUAGUAGGUGGGGUAAAUGGCUCACCUAGGCGACGAAUCCGUAACUGGUCUGAGAGGAUGAUCAGUCACACUGGAACUGAGACACGGUCCAGACUCCUACGGGAGGCAGCA